rnacentral:rRNA from 1 species
GAUUCUGGCUCAGGAUGAACGCUAGCUACAGGCUUAACACAUGCAAGUCGAGGGGCAUCAUGUCGGUUGCUUGCAACCGAUGAUGGCGACCGGCGCACGGGUGAGUAACGCGUAUCCAACCUUCCCCUUAGUAGGGCAUAGCCCGUAGAAAUGCGGAUUAACACCCUAUGUUCUUCAUGGAUGGCAUCUGACGUGAAGCAAAGUUUACGCUAAGGGAUGGGGAUGCGUCUGAUUAGGUUGCAGGCGGGGUAACGGCCCACCUGGCCGACGAUCAGUAGGGGUUCUGAGAGGAAGGUCCCCCACAUUGGAACUGAGACACGGUCCAAACUCCUACGGGAGGCAGCAGUGAGGAAUAUUGGUCAAUGGGCGAGAGCCUGAACCAGCCAAGUAGCGUGCAGGACGACGGCCCUAUGGGUUGUAAACUGUCUUUUAUCAGGGGAUAAAGUCGGCUACGCGUAGCCGUUUGUAGGUACCUGAUGAAUAAGGACCGGCUAAUUCCGUGCCAGCCGCGGC